rnacentral:lncRNA from 1 species
UUUGGGGUUUUUGUGCUUCCUGAAUGUAAUACCCAGGUAUUAGGUUAUGGAGCUAGGGUAAGGUUUAAGUUUUAUGGCGUUAGGGUUAAAAUCACUGUCCAAAACCUUUGUAGGAACUCUUUUCGAACCUUUUGGAGUUAGUUAGACCAAAAAAAAAAAGAAAAAUGAAAAAAAAAUAUUUGGGGUGUUCAGGCUUCCUAAAAGUAAUACCCGGUAUUAGGUUAUGGGGCUAUGGUAAGGUUUAAGGUUUUUGGCGUUAGGGUUAAAAUCACUGUCCAAAACCUUUGUAGGAACUCUUUUCCAACCUUUUGGAGUUACUUAGACCAAAAAAAUAUUAAAAAAGGAAAAAAAAAAAUUUGGGGUUUUCGGGCUUCCUGUGGUAAUACCCGGGUAUUAGAUUUAAAGGCUAGGGUAAGGUUUAAGCUUUUUGGCGUUAGGGUUAAAAUCACUGUCCAAAACCUUUGUAGGAACUCUUUUAGAACCUUUUGGAGUGAGUUAGACCAAAAAAAAAACGAAAAAUGAAAAAAAAAUAUUUGGGGUGUUCAGGCUUCCUAAAAGUAAUACCCGGGUAUUAGGUUAUGGGGCUAUGGUAAGGUUUAAGGUUUUUGGCAUUAGGGUUAAAAUCACUGUCCAAAACCUUUGUAAGAACUCUUUUCCAACCUUUUGGAGUUGGUUACACCAACAAAAAUGUAAAAUGAAAAAAAAUAUAUAUGGGGUGUUCGGGCUUCCUAAAAGUAAUACCCGGGUAUUAGGUUAUGGGGCUAUGGUAAGGUUUAAAGUUUUUGGCAUUAGGUUUAAAAUCACUGUCCAAAACCUUUGUAGGAACUCUUUCCCAACCUUUUGGAGUUAGUUAGACCAAAAAAAAAUGAAAAAUGAAAAAAAAAUGUUUGGGGUUUUCGGGCUUCCUGAAUGUAAUACCCGGGUAUUAGAUUUUAAGGCUAGGGUAAGGUUUAAGUUUUAUGGCGUUAGGGUUAAAAUCACUGUCCAAAACCUUUGUAGGAACUCUUUUCCAAUUUUUUGGAGCUAGUUAGACCAAAAAAAAAAGAAAAAUGAAAAAAAAAUAUAUAUGGGGUGUUCGGGCUUCCUAAAAGUAAUACCCGGGUAUUAGAUUUUAAGGCUAGGGUAAGGUUUAAGUUUUAUGGCGUUAGGGUUAAAAUCACUGUCCAAAACAUUUGUAGGAACUCUUUUCCAACUGUUACGGCUGUGUGUUUGUUUUGCAUGUGUUUUCCUCUUUUGUCUCUCCAUAGCUGCCCAGGUGAAAUCACUUGAGUGACAAUCAGACUCACCUGGUGCUGGGAGUCUAAAAGCCCAGAGCUGCCUGCAGUCUGGAGAGGCAUUUGGUGGGGAACUGCUGCCCUGCUGCCUCUCAUUUGUGUUGUGGGUGCUUUGUGUUUAGUUUGCAAUUUUGUUGUUUUUUCACAAUAAAUCACGUGUUAAACUUUUGAAGGUGUUUUGGUUAAUUUGAUGGGUAAAAAGUUGAGGAUUGUUGUUAGCCCCAUAGGGCCGCCUAAGGGUGGGGUGUAACACCAACCUUUUGGAGUUGGUUACACCAACAAAAAUGUAAAAUGAAAAAAAAAAUAUUAGGGGUGUUCGGGCUUCCUGAAGGUAAUACCCGGGUAUUAGGUUAUGGGGCUAUGGUAAGGUUUAAUGUUUUUGGCAUUAGGGUUAAAAUCACUGUCCAAAACCUUUGUAGGAACUCUUUUCCAACCUUUUGGAGUUGGUUACACCAACAAAAAUGUAAAAUGAAAAAAAAAAUAUUUGGGGUGUUCGGGCUUCCUGAAGGUAAUACCCGGGUAUUAGGUUAUGGGGCUAUGGUAAGGUUUAAGCUUAAUGGCAUUAGGUUUAAAAUCACUGUCCAAAACCUUUGUAGGAACUCUUUUCCAACCUUUUGGAGUUAGUUAGACCAAAAAAAAAUGAAAAAUGAAAAAAAAUUUUUUGGGGUGUUCAGGCUUCCUAAAAGUAAUACCCGGGUAUUAGGUUAUGGGGCUAUGGUAAGGUUUAAAGUUUUUGGCAUUAGGUUUAAAAUCACUGUCCAAAACCUUUGUAGGAACUCUUUCCCAACCUUUUGGAGUUAGUUAGACCAAAAAAAAUGAAAAAUGAAAAAAAUGUUUGGGGUUUUCGGGCUUCCUGAAUGUAAUACCCGGGUAUUAGAUUUUAAGGCUAGGGUUAGGUUUAAGUUUUUUGGCGUUAGGGUUAAAAUCACUGUCCAAAACCUUUGUAGGAACUCUUUUCCAACCUUUUGGAGUUACUUAGACCAAAAAAAUAUGAAAAAAGAAAAAAAAAUAUUUGGGGUGUUCAGGCUUCCUCAAAGUAAUACCCGGGUAUUAGGUUAUGGGGCUAUGGUAAGGUUUAAGGUUUAUGGCAUUAGGGUUAAAAUCACUGUCCAAAACCUUUGUAGGAACUCUUUUCGAACCUUUUGGAGUUAGUUAGACCAAAAAAAAAAAGAAAAAUGAAAAAAAAAUAUUUGGGGUGUUCAGGCUUCCUAAAAGUAAUACCCGGGUAUUAGGUUAUGGGGCUAUGGUAAGGUUUAAGGUUUUUGGCAUUAGGGUUAAAAUCACUGUCCAAAACCUUUGUAAGAAC